CGCCGCUGCCAGCGGCCAGACGCCGGAGCGCCGACAUCUGGCUCAGCAUCUGGCUGACAAAUGGAGCCAGCGGGAGCUUAAAAGGGCCCGGGAAGCGAAAUUAUUCCAACAUGGAUUUCCUCCUUCUGCAGGGCAGGAACAGGGAAGGAAGGCAGGCAAAGCUGGCAUUUAUCUAUGGGGCCAACCAAACUGCCACUGGGACGCAACCCUUUAACUCUGACACAUCUGCAAACAAGUAAGUGUCAAAAGGAAGAAGAAAAGAAGAGAGGGACGCAGAGGAAGGAAUUUGCACAGGGAACAACUCCAUCUGGGCUUGGCAUUGGUGUGUACUCCCCACAUCACUGGCUCUACUGGCAAACACACACAAAGAAGAGAAAAUCUCGCCUCUCCAGCUCGGCUGCCCACUGCCACGGCACCCCUCAGUCCCCCUGUCCUUACUGGGAGAGCCUGGUCUCACUGGCACUGGUGUCCUACUUGUCCAGACGUCCCACCCAGAGGACACAGGACCAGGCAUCAAUGCAGGCUGAUCCCAGAGUCUC